rnacentral:rRNA from 1 species
AUGUCCACCGGCAGGGCGUCCACGCCGUUCUCACGCGGGGCAGGCCACGUGGACCCCAACCGCGCCGCGGAUCUAGGCCUGGUGUACGACGCCGGCACGGAGGACUACAUCGCCUUCCUCCGCGCACUCGGCUACACCGCCGAGCAGAUGGCCGUAUUCAGCUCGGCGACCAACUGCUCGACGCGCGUGGGCGCCGGCGUGGGGGACCUCAAGUACCCGGCCUUCUCAGCGGUGUUUGGCCCGGAGAAACGCGCGGUCACGCAGCGCCGCGUCAUGCGGAACGUCGGGAGCAACGCCAGGCUGACGUACAGAGCCAAGAUCGCCAGCCCCGCCGGCGCGGUCGUGAUGGCGAGGCCGCAGAAGCUGCAGUUCAGCGCGACGCAGGGGACGCAGGAGUACGCGAUCACCUUCACACCAUGA